UAAGAGUAAACCAAAGCCACAAAAAGUUAU
rnacentral:piRNA from 1 species